AAACUUUCAACAACGGAUCUCUUGGUUCUGGCAUCGAUGAAGAACGCAGCGAAAUGCGAUAAGUAAUGUGAAUUGCAGAAUUCAGUGAAUCAUCGAAUCUUUGAACGCACAUUGCACCCUCUGGUAUUCCAGGGGGUAUGCCUGUUCGAGCGUCAUUACAACCCUCAAGCACUGCUUGGUAUUGGAUGUCACCGUUGGUGUAUCUCAAAAGUAUUAGCAGUAACAUUCAGCUUCUAGCGUAGUAAAUUUCUAGCUUU
rnacentral:rRNA from 1 species